rnacentral:rRNA from 1 species
UGCAGUCGAACGGUGAUAGCAAUAUCAUAGUGGCGCACGGGUGCGUAACACGUAUGCAACCUACCUAUUAUUGGGGGAUAGCCUUUGGAAGCGGAGAUUAAUACCGCAUAAUACGAUUGACUGGCAUCGGUUGAUUGUUAAAGCUUCGGCGAUAAUAGAUGGGCAUGCGUCCAAUUAGUUAGUUGGUUAGGUAACGGCUGACCAAGACGAUGAUUGGUAGGGGAUCCGAGAGGAUAAUCCCCCACACUGGCACUGAGAUACGGGCCAGACUCCUACGGGAGGCAGCAGUAGGGAAUAUUGGGCAAUGGGCGGAAGCCUGACCCAGCCAUGCCGCGUGCAGGAAGAAGGCGUUAUGCGUUGUAAACUGCUUUUUUAUAGGAAGAAGGAUCCCUUGCGAGGGAAGGUGACGGUACUAUAAGAAUAAGCACCGGCUAACUCCGUGCCAGCAGCCGCGGUAAUACGGAGGGUGCAAGCAUUGUCCGGAUUUAUUGGGUUUAAAGGGUGCGUAGGCGGUUUAUUAAGUCAGUGGUGAAAGACGGUCGCUCAACGAUUGCAGUGCCAUUGAUACUGGUAGACUUGAGUGAGAUUGAGGUAGCUGAAUGGAUANUGUAGCGGUGAAAUGCAUAGAUAUUAUCCAGAACACCGAUUGCGAAGGCAGGUUACUAAGUCUUAACUGACGCUGAG